rnacentral:lncRNA from 1 species
GAUGUGGUCACUCCUAACGCUAGCUGUUUAAUGGUCACUAAACUACUAUAUAAACAAGUUCAUGUAAUUUAAUGGUCACUAAGCUACACUAAACUUGAAUUUAAGCAACAAAGUCACAAACUUUGACAUGCUAGNAAAUCAUCGUCGCAAUAAACCAUAAAAUACUAUAGGAGUAUUUUAGCUAAGACCGAAUACGUUGUAGAAAUUCAUUCCAAGUGUUGCUACUCAUUCUUNGACAUGCUAGGUAAUUAUAAUCAAACACAAUCUGAAAUCCAACUUUAUAAACUCCAUAAAACAAUAAACUAAACCAUAGUCCUAAGGCUUCAUCUAGCCAAACAAAAGUAAACUAGUUUAGCUACUCAUAGUUGAAAUCAGACACAUAAGUUCAUAAAUAAUUGUCAAGAUCAAAUAAACUCAAAACGAAUAUAGAGUUAUAAUCUUCAAAUUC